GGAGAGGUGGCUGAGUGGUCGAAGGCGCUCGCCUGGAAAGUGAGUUAGCGGGUCAAACUGCUACAAGGGUUCAAAUCCCUUCCUCUCCGCCA
rnacentral:tRNA from 1 species